GGUCAGCUGACAUCACUGCCAAGAUGGGACUGAAAUGUCAGUGUCUGCACACAGCUCGGGCCAGCAAGGCAUCCUGGACCCUGGCUGGCCCUGGGGCUUCCUGUUCCCCUUGCCUGCCAAGCAGGGCCAACUCUGUGUCCCUCAGAAGGAGCCAGCUGGGAAGGCCUGUGGUCAGAAGGAGGUGGGCCCCAGAGUGUCCCCCGAUCCUCAGAGUCCAAAACAGAGGAUGUUCCUGCCCCCACCACUGGCCCCCACGCCAGGAGAGCCCUGAGCAGACUGCGAAACGUGCUUGUUGAGCGCUACCUGGGGAGCUCACCCUGUCCAGACGGUUGGGAAUCCACACUCUCUGGCUCACGGGACACCUCUGCUUCUGCCUCCCUGUGCACAGCCACCCCUCCAGGACUGUGAG
rnacentral:lncRNA from 1 species